CUUGUUUAGGCUUCUUAAACAUCUAUGCUCUCCUUCUCAGCAGUGACCUUCUGGGUUUGACCUAAACACUUCUUCAUUCACCUUGAAUUUCUCAGGGUCUCCGUUGACUUACCCGUGGGCCGGGACAAGUGGCGCCCAACGUGGGGCCCAAGAACGGGGGAUCCAGUGAAGAACGCUGCUUGGGGCCCCAAUAAAAUAGAAGAGGCAAAUAAAAUAGAAAAAAGAGGAUUGCGUUUGACGUGAACCUGCCGUCUUUCCUGCACCUCGGGUGCAGGUAUUCUUCUCUACUCCAAGGACUCAAAUGAACGACUGGAGGUAUUUCAGAGCAGAAGCUUUAAGGAUGGACACAUGGCUCUCCACAGCUCUUAUCCCUCUGCUGGUACGCUGGCAAAAUUCCCCACAGAGCCUGUCUUGCAGCCUGAGCCAGAGAGAGAGAAAGAAUAUGGAACCACAGCCAGCCUCUGCAGACCUGCAGUGGGACCAAGACGCAAACCUUUGGGCUCUCAGCCAGACUUGCAAACACUUCUGAAAAGGGCCAGAGAGGAAAUACUGUACGGGUUACAAGCCAUGUGGUCUCUGUCAGAACUACUCAACUGUGCCUCUGUGUCAGGAAAGCAACCACAGGCAGCAAGAUGGGACCAGGAAUACACAUUCCUAAGAUGUUUUCAAGUGAGGCUGAUUUUACAGACCCGGAGACCAAAUACCCUGACCUCUCUUGAUUGAUACAUCAUCUGCAAAGGGAGGUUGCCUCGCAGGGUUGUGGUCCCAGUUAAAUGAGAUAGUGUGACAUGAUUAGGACACUCUGUAAGUUCUCAGCAAAAGUUGGCCAACACUGUGGUGUGAGUCAUCACACACAUGCAUAUAUGUAACACAAUUCUCUUGCUGUUAGAAAUAAA
rnacentral:lncRNA from 1 species